GGGGCCAUGGCGCAACGGUAGCGCAGCGGGCUUUUAACCCGUUGGUUGGGGGUUCGAAUCCCUCUGGCCCCA
rnacentral:tRNA from 1 species